rnacentral:rRNA from 1 species
CAAUAGCGUAUAUUAAAGUUGUUGCAGUUAAAAAGCUCGUAGUUGGAUUUCUGCCAGGGUGCCAAUGUCCGCCGAAGUGCGUGCGCAGCGGCGCCCUCGCAUCCUUCUGUUAACGCCUCUCGGCAUUUACUUGCCGGUGGUGGGCUCAGAUAAUUUACCUUGAGAAAAUUAGAGUGUUUCAGGCAGGCUAGGCCGGAAUACAUUAGCAUGGAAUAAUGGAAUAGGACUACGGUCUCGUUGUUGGUUUGAGGGACUGGAGUAAUGAUUAAUAGGGAUAGUUGGGGGCAUUAGUAUUUAAUUGUCAGAGGUGAAAUUCUCAGAUUUGUUAAAGACUAACUUAUGCGAAAGCAUUUGCCAAGGAUGUCUUCAUUAA